UGAUCAGCAAGGUGGUGAGGCACACACCAAAAGUCAACUUCAGGUGUGCUUCCAAUCAGCUGCUUGUUUUGAGAGAACAUAAUUUCAACCUAAUUUUUUGCACCUGCAACUUGGUUAUCUGGAUUAGCCUGAUACUUAACAUGUGCCCUGAGAAUUUGCUCUCAUUUUUUGUGAGGCUGUGUUGAUACCUAUGCUUGGGGUCUUGUAGGCUUUGCUUAUACAUUACAACAUUAUAGUCCCUUCUCCUUGGCUUUGCUUCUAGAAAUCUAUCAGCAAACCUGUAAUUUUUUUUGUUUCUUUUUCAUUGUCUACUGUUUUUCUUCUGUAAAGUGACACUGCUCAUGUCUUGAAGAUAUGCUUUUUCAGAGACUCAGCUGCUCACCUCAACUUUUCUAAGAGUUUGUUUGGUUUUUUUUUUGGUUGUUGCUACUCUGACUGAUGGAAUUCUUGACUCUUCUAUUUGAAUCUGUCUCACACGUGCUGUUCCAGAUCACGUUUAUAGUGAGCAGAACCUCAGACUAAAGGAAAUAAAGCAUCAAGUUUGAGCUCUGAUGUUUCAUUGAUUUAGCCAAGUUCACAGAAGCCAAAUAUGUCUGAGUUUGUUCACACAGCUGGUGAGCUAUAAAGUCUUUCUCCCAAUAGUAAACUUCUCCCUUCUUUCCAAGAGCUGGGAGAAGGCUCUCAGAGUUUGCUGGAGCACGUGGACCUUGGGGAGGGAAAAGUGGGGGUCACCUGGUCAGGCAGAGUGGCUCUUGUGUGAGAUUUCAUUUAUAAGACUAAAAGCUCCCCUUUGUCUUCCCCAAAGUAGAUGCUUUCCUUCUUCCACUUAGCUCAUUUGCAGGGAUUCAGUGAAGAAAAUCAACUGGUUCGUGCUGAUUUUAGAUCAAGAUUGCUUGAUUUGUUUGCAUUCAAGUUACUUAUUAGUCUAGCUGUAAGUUCAGAUACAGUGACCUCUUCUGUUUUACACAGAAAGCAAACAGAGCUGAGCGUAUGAAACCUGUGUACACAAAUCGCAAUGAAUGCGUGUCUGAGUCAGAGCAUAUUUAAAGAAAAAUAUAUAGUCAAAUGUUAAAUUUAGAACCUCGGGUCAAUGAAUGUAGCCCCUUUUUUUUUGCCAAACAAUUAUUAAAUGGUGCUUCAGUAAAAGCCUGACCUGCAAUAGACUUAGAUAUAUAUUUAGCACAGUGUUAUGAACACUUAAGUAUUUCUGUUCCUGAGAUCCCAACGUGAGAUUAUUAGAGUGGUAAGGCACAUCAGGUGUGAGAGCCAAGUCUUGCUUGUGCCUUUGCUAAUGGAAACUCACUCAAGUGAAUACAGUUGCUUGGUUUACAUUUGCACAGCUGAAGCCACAGCUUGGCCUAGGACCUAAAAGUUUGAACAUACGGAAAAAAUAACAAUCAAAUGUCUGCUAAUGCCUAGAAAUGUGAACAGUGGAUUGAAUCUAAAAUUUAAAAUUAGGAGAGACAAAUAUCAGGCAUUCAUGUAAAGCACUUGGGCAAAAUUUAGGGUUUAUUUUUUUCCUAAUCACUGAUUUCAGACAAUUGGACCUGAUUAUUCAGAAUUGUUAAGAAUGCAGAAUCCUUUGCUGAGUUCUCUGAAAAUGAAAUCUUUGAGGCAUACAGCAAAAACAAAGUCUCCUAGCCCUCUUGAAUACAUGUGAGUGGUUGGGUUUUUUUUCUAACAAUUAGCCAUGGUAAACUCGUUCAGGGAUCUGAUUUCUGCCCUUCAGACUUCUACAGAUGUUCUUCAAAAUGCAAAACAAAUGUACCUUCCUGAUAAGCAAUUUGUUACUUUUCACUUUGUGUUUGUUCAUGUCAGAAAUGUGCAUUGGUAUGUAAGCAAACAAUAGUGUUUAAGUGCUUAAUUAUUUCAAAG